rnacentral:rRNA from 1 species
CCUACGGGAGGCAGCAGUGGGGAAUUUUGGACAAUGGGCGAAAGCCUGAUCCAGCCAUGCCGCGUGAGUGAAGAAGGCCUUCGGGUUGUAAAGCUCUUUCAGUCGAGAAGAAAAGGCUGCAGUGAAUAACUGUAGUUUAUGACGGUAUCGACAGAAGAAGCACCGGCUAACUACGUGCCAGCAGCCGCGGUAAUA